GUCUUCUUAGCUCAGUGGUAGAGCGCUGGUCUCGUAAACCAGAUGUCGGGAGUUCAAUCCUCUCAGAAGGCA